AGUGAAUUUGCUGAAUCACAUGGUAGAUGUAUGUUUAACUUUUAAAAAACUAUCAGACUGUUUCCAAAGUGACUGAAUCAUUUUACUUUUUGCCAGCAGU
rnacentral:pre_miRNA from 1 species